rnacentral:rRNA from 1 species
CGGACGGGUGAGUAACGCGUGAGAAUCUAGCUUCAGGUCGGGGACAACCACGGGAAACUGUGGCUAAUACCGGAUAUGCCGAGAGGUGAAAGGCUUGCUGCCUGAAGAUGAGCUCGCGUCUGAUUAGCUAGUAGGUGUGGUAAAAGCGCACCUAGGCGACGAUCAGUAGCUGGUCUGAGAGGAUGAUCAGCCACACUGGGACUGAGACACGGCCCAGACUCCUACGGGAGGCAGCAGUGGGGAAUUUUCCGCAAUGGGCGAAAGCCUGACGGAGCAAUACCGCGUGAGGGAGGAAGGCUCUUGGGUUGUAAACCUCUUUUCUCAGGGAAGAAAAAAAUGACGGUACCUGAGGAAUAAGCAUCGGCUAACUCCGUGCCAGCAGCCGCGGUAAUACGGAGGAUGCAAGCGUUAUCCGGAAUGAUUGGGCGUAAAGGGUCCGCAGGUGGCUAUGUAAGUCUGCUGUUAAAGAACCUAGCUUAACUAGGUAAAAGCAGUGGAAACUACAAGGCUAGAGUGCGUUCGGGGUAGAGGGAAUUCCUGGUGUAGCGGUGAAAUGCGUAGAUAUCAGGAAGAACACCAGUGGCGAAGGCGCUCUACUAGGCCGCAACUGACACUGAGGGACGAAAGCUAGGGGAGCGAAUGGGAUUAGAUACCCCAGUAGUC